CAGGAAGUAGUUUAAGGAGAAUG
rnacentral:tRNA from 1 species